UUAAUGUCUAUGAAGGAGAAAAGUAAGUUAGACCCAGCCUCGCAGGGAGGAAGCGUCACCGACUGCAAGCGCUUCCAGGUAUGGCUAAACUGAAGUUCUCUCCGGAGAUGCCGGCUGAACAAAAAAGUAGGCUAGGCCGUAAUUCCCACGUUACAGGGAAGGGGGUAUCGGACUUUUGUUCCCGUACUCUGCAAAGAGGUGGGUCUCAUUUUUUGGGAUCAACUAGGGUGGUAUCGCGGUAAGCUAUUAGCUUCUCGUCCCUUUU
rnacentral:ncRNA from 1 species